rnacentral:rRNA from 1 species
UGGGGAAUAUUGCGCAAUGGGGGAAACCCUGACGCAGCGACGUCGUGUGAGGGAAGAAGGCCUUCGGGUCGUAAACCUCUGUCAGAAGGGAAGAACAUCCGGGAGUCGAACAGCCUCCCGGCCUGACGGUACCUUCAGAGGAAGCGCCGGCUAACUCCGUGCCAGCAGCCGCGGUAAUACGGAGGGCGCAAGCGUUAAUCGGAAUCACUGGGCGUAAAGCGUGCGUAGGCUGCUUGAUAAGUCAGACGUGAAAUCCCUCGGCUCAACCGGGGAACUGCGUUUGAUACUGUCGAGCUAGAGUCCUGGAGAGGGUGGCGGAAUUCCUGGUGUAGGAGUGAAAUCCGUAGAUAUCAGGAGGAACACCGGUGGCGAAGGCGGCCACCUGGACAGGUACUGACGC